CUGUAUUUAAAAAAAAAAAAAAGGCCUGGGGAUGUAGCUCAGUGUGAAGGUCCUGGGUUCAAUCCCCAGGGCUGAAACAAACAUACAAACCAACAACCCCAAGAAAUUCUCGGAUAGCACUGUGCUGAGCUCACAGUAGACAAUUAAUUUAAUAAGUACCAGCUGGCCGGAACUGAGUGACACUCCGAGGCCCCGCCGGGCCGGCACACUGACGAGCCGAGUCUGGGACUCUUCCUGUCCCGGCUCCUGCUGGGAGCUGCCAUGGGCUUUUUCAGACACCAUUUCCCCGGGGCCAGCUUUACUUAACUUCCUGGCUUUGCCUUUCCACCUGUGAAGCAUGGAGCAGAGCAGUUGAUUCUGACUGCAAUGGAUGACAGAGGACAGUUGCUCCUUAGCAGGGCCACAGAGUUACCUUGGAAAGGUUUGUCUCGUCCUGGCUUAAGAGGAACUCCUGCGGAGACGGGGGAGGGACGGAGCAGCCCGGGGCCAGGGGCUGGCUGCUGGCUCAGACUGAAGUGGAAUUUGGCCUUGGGGUGAAGAAAGAGGGGUUCCCUGGGAUCUGCAAUCCUGCACUGCCAUCUACUGCCAGUCCUUGGUUAUGGCCCGAGUGACAACGCUGAAACACGCUUCAUCCAUUCUUGGUUGACUGCUCACAGGAGCCCGGAAGAAACUUAAAGGAAAAACGCUCCAAGUACAAACCACAGCCCUAUCGUGAGGAUCGCCCACCAGCCCGCACACCAGGGCUCCCACACCGGUGUCCAUCUGCAGUCCCCAGAGCAGCCGGGAGUUUGUGCCCACAGGAAGGGUGCUGUUCCUGACAGAGUCGGUGUCCACCAAGGGGUGCAGGCAGGCCGCAGGUCACUGACACCAUGCACAAGCAGAGCUUCCCUUCACCUCCUACCUGUUUCUUUUUUCGAUGUCUUUCAGCCUUUGAAUUCUUCUUCCACCUUCCCACAUCUGCCUCCUCGUCAUUUUCAGUGAACUCCUUUGUUAAAAUGCAAAGGGAACAGGGGAGAGAAUCUUAUGAGAGGAAGCGGGUAUGAUUUUCAAGUAUCAGAAUUAAAAACACCAUGUUGACCUCGGGUCUGCAUCCAUGACAUCAAAUGUGAGCGAAGGAACAGUUAGCACAAUCUAAGUGGCGUCACAUCUGCUCUUCUCAAAAUAACAAGCUCUUGAAAACCUGAACCCAAGUGAAAUAGUUGUAGACAUGAUAUUGGAGUGCCGUUGUUGCAGGUCUGCAUUUAUGGCUAUGAGAUUUAUGGGGCACUUACUAUGUUCCAGCUCUGGGGGCCUCAGGACAGAGUACAGCACACUGCCCACUCACCAUCAAAGAAAGGCAACUACCAAGGGAAGCUGUCAGGACAGACGGCGAGCCAUAGCUCAGGACAAACAUCAGACUCAUGCCCGGGAUUCCACAGCUGUCCUUUCCAGCCUCGCGGCAGGUGAGGAAAAAAUGAAAACACAGCACAUGCUAAAUCACCACGAGAAUCGUAACGCAGAGAAAAGUUUGGCAAAUCUUUUUGAAAUGGGAAAAUCGCAAAGGUCAUUUUCUUUGCACAUUAUACUUUUUAGCAUUUUAGACAAAAUAUUAGAGCUGAAAACUUGAAAGUAUCCAAGCCCUAAAGUUUUCUUGUCCUAGAGUUUUACAGAGUGGGUCAUGAGCACCUGUGGAGUCAAGGAGAAGUUGCAAGAUAAACGUGGACCCUCUCCUGGCAAACCAAAUUCAUUAGACCUCUUUUUCUAAAAUUGUUGCUUUUUCUAAAUAUGUUGCUUUUAUCCUAGAACACAAAGCCUGGAUCUUAAUGAUAUGAGAAGGUUUCAAAGAACUCGAAUGCAGGUUGUGGGGCCAGGGCCCAACUACUGCUCCGUUCCCUAGGCCACUGGGCUUAGGGAAGCCAGGAGCUUCGGUUACGGAGGAGAGAGCUGAAGUCGACUGGAGCAUGGCUUUGGUGGGGAUUUUUCCUGGUCUUUGCGAAUGCCUCUCCUUCCUCAGGGUCCACCAGAUACAGCAUUCUUAGCUUAGAGAUUCACCAACUUAAUUACUGAGAUGAUGGUAAUAUGGAGGUGUGCAGGGAUGGCUCUUUUACACAAAUCUGGUUUUGUUGGCUUAGAAUGGACUUGUGAGAAGUCUAGGUCAUUUUUUCCUUUCCAAUAAUAUUUCAUCUUUGAUCAUUAGAAAACUGACUGGUAAAACUUGCAAUAAGAUGGAAUGGGAGCUCCAUGCGGGCACUGGAUUUUGGUCACUGUGGAAUCCCCAGGGACUAGAGACACAGACAAUAUUUGUUUCAUGCAUCAGUGGGCAAAUACAGAGCUGUGUGGCUUGUAGGUACUUAGUAUCAUGGUUAAAGUUAAUCUGCAUGGUUUUCAUAAUGUGUUCCCUGAGGAGUUUGGAAGCAUUACAUUGGAAACAGUGCACUUUCUCUCUCUGGUCUUUAACCAGUGAGCCCUUAAGCCCAGGGAGAAGCAAGGAUCGAGAGGAGCAAGCAUUCUCUCUGCCAAAUUGGAGAUGGUUUUCCUUCUGUGGGCUGUGUGGGGGCUUUAGUGAGUUUGUGCACCAUGAGACAGAAAUUUCCAGUCGCUCGAGCACAGAGGGUUUUAUUAGCAAAUGUAAUCAAUGCAAUCUACAACUGUGGCCUUCCUUCUCAACUUUAUAGGAAAGCAUGGUCUUCAGGCAGAGGUGGGCCCAGGAGCGUGGUGGUGAGUGGGAGCUACUGUGUGCUGCAAUUCAGUUUCACAGCAUUUGUGGAAAAGACAGACAGAGGCGCCUAUGGGCCUGCAGCACCCCUCACCACCCACCUCCUCUUCUCCACCAUGUGCCUGAGAGGGAAGGCCUGGCAACUAAACUUGGCCUGAGGGUGCCUCCGUACUUGGAGUCUUUCCUUAAACUGCAACCUAACUUAGCACUAAGUAAUUGAAAGCCUAACUUACGAGUAUACACUGUAGCAAAUAACUGAGUCUCACAAUCACAGAAGCUCAAUCAAUCGGAGGUAGUCAAUGGAUCAGAUCACGUUCAACUAAGGCAGCACUGAACUGCAACCAAGCAAGCAUUUCCGUUAGUUCCUCACUUUCAUUUCCCAUCCUUAGAUGCUCUCGAACCUCUGCUAGUUCUGAGUGCUAUCUUACUCAUAAAGUGCCUUGGUCCAACUAAGAGCUGUUAAAUUGAAUCUAACAGUUUUUUAAAACCACAUGCAAUUCAUGCUUGUUGUUGGCCUUAAGUUUCUCAUUAAAAAAUACAUCCCAAAGGGACAUCGGAACAGCCACUUACCUCUGUAAUUAUUUUUACUUUCUCUUCCCUGGGAUUCAUUUUGUUUCCGAUGGAUCCUUAAGAAAGAAAAAUGAAGAACUCAGGCAUUUUUAAAUCAACGAAUUAUCAUUCUUCUUCCAUUAACGAAGAGGAAGC
rnacentral:lncRNA from 1 species